ACAGAAUGGUGAUGUUUGUUUACAUUGCUCGAUUGGACAUUUUGGCUUCGCUGUUCGCGUUUCUCGAAGUAUUUAUAUAAAUAAACAUCGCAUAAGUGACAAUUUUAUGACAAAGUGACGGUAUAAGGCGAGGUAUAAGGUAGACGAAAAGGAAUCGGAAGUAUCCGUCUCCAAACCGAGCAAAAUUGCAGCUUUGAUUAGGGAACCAGAGUAAACCUAUCAAGGAUGUUGGCCGAGGACAAUUUAUCUUCGGAAUGCCAUAACCAAGCCGACGUACAACGCUACGUUUAGCUUCCAAAGUCCGAAAUGCUCUUCCUGCAUACGCUUUUCCCGCGACUAAUAAUACAUCAGUUUCACCUCUGAUGACACCUUCUGGAUUUGGUUUCUCAACUUCGCCAAUAAACGGUCACCACAACAAAAACGGCUUCGUUUAUUCCAAGUUUAAUCACUGGCGUCGACAUCCAGACAUGACGCUCCAAAAGAGGUUUCUCGAUGCUAUUUUGACAAACACAUCGUCAGCUGGAACAACGACGCGGCUGUUUCAUUGAUUGGAAUCAUUUCUGCAGCAAUGUCCGGCUCAACAUCACCAACAUUCCGACUGCUGGUGCAUUCUUUUUCGAAACAAGUUGCAUUUCUUAAAUCUACAACCGCAGCGGCAUCCACGACAAUGACCCCUACUGGAUUCUCUUUCGGAAGAGCGUUGGAUUGUGGCGCCACAUCGGUAACGGCAAAACCUAUUUUCGGUGUUUCCUCCGCGACACCGAAAUUCGGUUUUAGUCAAUUCCUACCGCCUAUAUCUUUUAGAACUGCACUACCACUACGACAAGCACUAUCACUCCUAUUACGGCAACUCCGCCAUUCGAAAGUAUAUCCCCAGCAUUUCCACGGAGCCGUCUGCAUCGUCUGCAUAUGCUAGUUUUUCGUUCGGAAAUACCGUCACAACAUCACCGGUCACAAACACGACAGUAACCCUAGUCGUUGCCACCAGCAGACACGUCUUUGGUAGCGAGAUCAACAGCGACUCGAAAGCUUUGUGGCGAGUGUCGUUUCGGUACCAGUCCGACACCGGUAUUUGGUGCCACCAUCUCGCGACAACGAUGGCUACUGGCUUUUGAGCAUCUUCAAUUUUUGAGCUCGGCCCCGGAUCGUUAGCCACAUCCGACAAUUCGGCUAAUUCAAGCAUCGCCGUUUAGUGGGACCAAUUCAACACUGGCAGCAUGAGCCCGAAGAAUUCUAAGACGAAUCGUGACUAGAAACUGUACAUACUUUGGACUCCGCAACACGCUUCGUUCGUAAGGAAUUCAUCACCGUACCAAACUGGACAAUACUCGUGGAAAGCCAAGCCGCACUUAACGAUUUUUUUUAUUGAAAGGCUGCGUACUAGAUUAAAAUUAAAUUUAACUAAAAUUUUAAAUCAAGUAAAUUGAAAAUAAUUUUAAAUUCAAUUAAAAAAUAAAUAAAAUAAAUUAUUAAAUUAAAAUUGAA